UGGGGAAUAUUGGACAAUGGGCGCAAGCCUGAUCCAGCCAUGCCGCGUGAGUGACGAAGGUCUUCGGAUUGUAAAGCUCUUUUUGGCGGGGACGAUAAUGACGGUACCCGCAGAAUAAGCCCCGGCUAACUUCGUGCCAGCAGCCGCGGUAAUACGAAGGGGGCUAGCGUUGUUCGGAAUCACUGGGCGUAAAGCGCACGUAGGCGGACUUAUAAGUCAGGGGUGAAAUCCCGGGGCUCAACCUCGGAACUGCCUCUGAUACUGUGAGUCUCGAGACCGGAAGAGGUGAGUGGAAUUCCUAGUGUAGAGGUGAAAUUCGUAGAUAUUAGGAAGAACACCAGUGGCGAAGGCGGCUCACUGGUCCGGUUCUGACGCUGAGGUGCGAGAGCGUGGGGAGCAAACAGGAUUAGAUACCCCGGUAGUCCCUGAGCGGGCUGGCAAGGCGCAU
rnacentral:rRNA from 1 species